UACGGGGGGGGCAAGCGUUGUUCGGAAUUACUGGGCGUAAAGGGCGCGUAGGCGGGUCGGCAAGUCCGGGGUGAAAGCCCCAGCUCAACUGGGGAAGUGCCUUGGAAACUGCCGGUCUCGAGGGAGGUAGGGGCCUGUGGAACUUCGGGUGGAGCGGUGAAAUGCGUUGAUAUCCGAAGGAAACGCCGGUGGCGAAAGCGACGGGCUGGAUCUCUUCUGACGCUGAGGCGCGAAAGCUAGGGUAGCGGAACGGGA
rnacentral:rRNA from 1 species